AUCAUGUCCUUGGUGUUUGCAAAAGGCGCAAUACUUAGGAAGGUUGUCAUAUACAAUGAUUUGCUGGAACUCCACAGAUUUCCCGGAAAUAGAAUCUACAAACUGUAACAUGACCUUUUUUGGGUGUUUAUCCAAAAGGUUCACAAUAACCUUGACUCUUGCUGCGCUUGACCUCGUUCUAUCCUGCGUCGCCUUGUCAAC
rnacentral:lncRNA from 1 species